AGCUGCAUCCAGCAUAUGUUUAAAUAGAUGGCUAAAAUAUAUUGAAUACAUAUAUAGUACCAAUAUGUAUAUAUGCAAGUAUAUGUGGAACCAAGCACUGUAACAUAUAUGUGGAUAUCUUACAUGAAAGUCUAUGUGCUGAAUAUAUUCACUGAAUAGAUGCAAGUAUAUGCGGAACCCAGCACUAACAUAUAUGUGAAUAUCUUACAUGUAAGUCUAUGUGCUGAAUAUAUUCACUGAAUAGAUUUUUUAAAAGUGCAUGCGCACACACAGCAAUUCCCAUCCCCCACCCCAACUGACUUUUCAACUCCAGCCACAAGUCACACUUCAACUGUCACUUUUCUGUCAUGAAGCUUGCUGUAUGUAAGCUGAACAAACUCUGCCGUCAUCAUCAUAUUCAAGGCGGUGUGUUGUGUGGAGGACUGCUGCCCUGAGACCGCUGGGUUUAUUCUGGAAUAUUGUCACUUCCAAAGCCCAUUACAAGCCUGCAAUGGGCUCUAUGAACUGUCCAGAGCAAAAUCAGUCUGUCCUGAUGGCACUACCUGCUACUAUGGCUGCUGCUCUCAACCUGGUGGGGCAAGUCUUAAGAGUUGCAGACGGGGGAGCAAAAGGAGUUCCUGGACCCUUAAAGGGUUAAGGCCAUAAUGGGCCACCUAGAAGAGAUUCAGGCACUCCCUCAAGAUUGCUGGGCCAUGCAAUUAAUGCCAAACUUGCAGAACUGUGAUGUCAGUACAAAAACAAAAAUGGCCAUUUUUAAAUAAAUUCAACAAAAGAAAACAGAAGAGUUGUGUGUUUCUUCCUCUUUAUAAUGAUACUAUGGUUAAUUUUAAGUAAAUACUAUAGUGAAAACAAUUGUAAAUGCAGAAAACAUGAAACCAUAGUAGAAUAUGCCCUAUAUUUGAACAAUAUAUCAGAAUAUAUGUGAGAAAUAUAAGUCUGAAAUAUAUAGGUCAUGUGAUCACAACU